AUCUCCCAAGUCCUGUUGCAGUAACAUGAGUUCAGAAUGCAGAACGAUGGAUGAUCUGGUCCAAGCAGCCAGAAGGAGGAAGUUAGACCUUAAAGACAGAAAGCAGUGUGAAAGCAAAUUGCAUUACAUGUCUUUCUUCCAAAUAAACUUGAUGUCCCACUGGCAUGGAAAGCUUCUCUGCAUUGCACUGGGAAACAGGCGUUGGUUGUAGAAGUAAUGCUGUGGUAAGAG